rnacentral:rRNA from 1 species
UACGUAGGGUGCGAGCGUUAAUCGGAAUUACUGGGCGUAAAGCGUGCGCAGGCGGUUCGUUGUGUCGGCGGUGAAAGCCCCGGGCUUAACCUGGGAAUGGCCGUUGAAACUGGCGAACUGGAGUGUGGCAGAGGAGGGUGGAAUUCCGCGUGUAGCAGUGAAAUGCGUAGAGAUGCGGAGGAACACCGAUGGCGAAGGCAGCCCCCUGGGCUAACACUGACGCUCAGGCACGAAAGCGUGGGGAGCAAACAGG